rnacentral:rRNA from 1 species
AUUGAACGCUGGCGGCAGGCCUAACACAUGCAAGUCGAACGAGCGGCGGACGGGUGAGUAGUGUCUGGGAAACUGCCUGCUGGGGGGGGAUGACUACUUGAACCGGUAGCUAAUCCCGCAUACCCUCAGGUGGCCCCACAUGGGAUUAGCUAGUAGGUGGGGUAAAGGCUCACCUAGGCGACGAUCCCUAGCUGGUCUGAGAGGAUGACCAGCCACACUGGAACUGAGACACGGUCCAGACUGCUACGGGAGGCAGCAGUGGGGAAUAUUGCACAAUGGGCGCAAGCCUGAUGCAGCCAUGCCGCGUGUAUGAAGAAGGCCUUCGGGUUGUAAAGUACUUUCAGCGGGGAGGCGUGACCCGCAGAAGAAGCACCGGCUAACUCCGUGCCAGCAGCCGCGGUAAUUC